AGGUAAUGAGCUUGUUAAAAAGUAUAUAUUUUGAAAAUAUAAGAAAGAAUUAAAAUAAAUUUUAUUAUCUA
rnacentral:tRNA from 1 species